rnacentral:misc_RNA from 1 species
AGCCCGUUUUAACGAGGGUCGACUGUACAUCAUAGGGCAAACGUUUAUCUGUGCCAUAAAUGAUGUAGUAGGGUGAUUGGCCCGUGGAGCUAUUGAUUGACCCAUUAAUCGAGGCUGUAACUGGAGGUAACCAAUCUAACCAUGCCAUGUGCAUUGGAUUCAUGAUACAGUAUGUCGAAGAAUCUCAGGGAUUUUACAAUUGGUUCUUUCAACCAGCCCAUUCACCUGUGGUUGAUAAGCUGUGAUGAAUCUGUUGGAUGCUUUAUUGCAGGUAAAUUUGUGCAAAAAGUUGAUUUUUAAACUCUGAUCUGUUGUCGGAUAGAAGAACCUUAGAUGUGGUGAAUGGGCAUAUCAGAUGCAUCACUAGAGCGUGAGCUACUGCCUCGGCAUAUUUAUCCUGCACAGGGGCUAAAAUUACAAAUCUGGAGAAGUGAUCCACAGCUAGUUGAACGGACGUUCUGGUGCAGGAUAUUGUAGCAUUGGAGCAGGUGGAAUAGUGGUACUCUUGUGUGGAGAACACAAUGUGUUGCUCAAUGUCUUUUCAUAUUAAUAUAAAUGUUACUGUGUUAGAGCAGGGGCUAUUACAAGGAGGGCCAGGGGAAGGCAGGGGUAGGAGGGCUAUGGGAAGACAGGAGUAGGGGAAGUCACUGUACAAGCCAUCCUUGAUUUACAAAAGAGUUCCAUUAGUGAAGAAAAAACUUCGUAAAUCAAAACUUUUGUAAACAUAGCCUUGGUGAAUCGAUAAAUGCCUGUACUUGUGUGUGUGUUCUGCUGGUGGAUGAUCCCCACUCCACAGUAUACCCCUCUUGCUCUCAACUUUAUAACAGUAACAAAACUGUUUUCUCCGCAGCAGAGUCGAAGUCGGCAACCUGGGGCUUCUGGUCGCCUACAUCGAACACAGACUGGUGACUGGGUGUGGUCCAGUGACGAGGGAGAUGAUAAAGAUUCGGAAGAGGCUGACAAAAUAUCUACAAGUAGUUGUGAAAGUGGUGGAGAGAAGCCGCCAUCACAACCAGAAGCUCCUUCACCACCGACUCAACCAUCCCAUUCUCCACAAGCACAGCCGCAGGAGCCACAGCCACUGCAGCCAAGUACGGCGGUGGUAACGCAGCCGCCACAGUCGCAACAGCAAGCAGUACAACACCAGAGCAACCCCUCCCAACAGCCACUCCUACUUCAACAACCACAACCUCCACUAAAUUAUCAGCCCCAAGUGGUGGCACAGUACCAGCAGCCCAUCCCUGCCACGGUGCCCCCCCAGGCGUACACACCACAGUACAUGCAGCCGGUGCCGACCAUCCCUCAGUCACAAGCUCAUUCAUUACCUCCCCAGUCUUACCCUAUCCAGAACAUUCCCCAACAGACUGUGGGAGUGUUGCCCCAACAGGUGGCCAACAUGGUACCAGUGUCAGGCAUGGUACAAGACAUCAUGAUGGCCGCUCCAAUGGCCCCAGUCGUGCCCACCAGCAUACCAGGAGGUGUGUCCUUCCCUCAAGGAGUGCCUGAUGUAGUAGGUCAGGGCAUGAUCCAGCCAGUGCCUGUACCUGUAGUGCCUCAGGUGGUUGGAGGCGCCACUGACUGCUAUGUGGCACCUCCCAUCCACCAAGUUUCUGUUGAUAAUGACCCCAUCAACUUGGUGCUCAGAGUCAGGAACCAGAAGAGAGAACUUAAUGACAUCCGGUUUGAGUUCACCGUUGGACGAGACACCUCGGAGGGCGUUGCCUCAGAGUUAGUAGCAGCUGGACUGGUAGAUGGUCGAGACUUAGUCGUUAUUGCUGCUAACUUAGACAAGAUUACACAACAUCCUGAAAUGGGGCAAAACCUAACUUUUAGAUUGAAUUCAGAUUGUGAGCCUAAUGAAGCACCAGACGAUAAGGCAUUAAUAGGAUUUGCUCAGCUAACAAUCUCCGACUGACGAGAUCGCAUGGGCUUCCCCGACACAUGGUCAGCCCAGGGUCCUCUGCACCUUUUAGGACGGCCCGACGUGUCGACCAGGAGGCAAAGCAACAGUCGUAGUGUGAUUUGUGAUGAUCAAAAAUUCAUUUUAGUAUUUUUUCAUAGUGUAGGAGUUUUUUUCAAACGUGUAGUAAAAUUCUGGAAAUGAGAGGGAAAUGUUUUUUGUAAAUUGCAACAUAUUCUGUGAUGUGUAAAGGAGAUUCUCAUCUCCCUUAUAAGACUUUUGAUUACAUUUUUCAGUUGUGCGGUUUUCAUAUAGUGCAAUACAAUUUCCUGAGCAGUUAUAUUUGCAUUAUAAUAAUCAUAUUUGCUCUGAUUCUUAAGUAACUGUCAAUAUUUUCUUGUAAUAAGUUAUGGUUUACCAAGUUUAUAUUGCAUGUCUUUAAUGGAGGGAGACGCACCUGUCACCACACUGGGGAGGCAAUCAGUUGCUGUUAGUUACAGUAGUUAGUUUAUGGUCAUGUUAUCGAUCAGGUCCAUCAGGUCUUGUUAUCGAUCAGGUCCAUCAGGUCUUGUUAUCGAUCAGGUUCAUCAGGUCUUGUUAUUGAUCAGGUCCAUCAAGUCAUGUUACUAGGGGUCACCUCAUAUUGGUCUAGUGUGGGGAAGGUGCACCUGCCAUGGCCGCCACACUUCCAGCUUCAUGAGAUCACCAAAAUCUAUGUUUAUUACACCUGUAGUUUACUGAUUAUUGUUAUAAGAAGUAAGAUUUAGUCAUGGCACCAUAUACAGUACAUGGUGUGGGAGGUGGAUGAUGAUAACUGGUGGAGGGAGUACAUGGUGUGGGAGGUGGAUGAUGAUAACUGGUGGAGGGAGUACAUGGUGUGGGAGGUGGACGAUGAUAACUGGUGGAGGGAGUACAUGGUGUGGGAGGUGGACGAUGAUAACUGGUGGAGGGAGUACAUGGUGUGGGAGGUGGAUGAUGAUAACUGGUGGAGGGAGUACAUGGUGUGGGAGGUGGAUGAUGUUAACUGGUGGAGGGAGUGCAUGGUGUGGAUGAUGAUAGCUGGUGGAGGGAGUACAUGGUGUGGGAGGUGGAUGAUGAUAACUGGUGGAGGGAGUACAUGGUGUGGGAGGUGGAUGAUGAUAACUGGUGGAGGGAAUACAUGGCGUGGGAGGUGGAUGAUGAUAACUGGUGGAGGGAGUACAUGGUGUGGGAGGUGGAUGAUGAUAGCUGGUGGAGGGAGUACAUGGUGUGUAUAAAGGAAGAGUAUAUAGAUAGAAUAAACAUAUAUACAGUUCAGAUUAAUUAAGAAGCUAUGUAAGUCAGGUUUUGUUGUAUCAGUGAAGAAAAUAGACAUUGGUAACCAUUGGUAUUUUCUUUGUGGGGAAUUUAGGUUUGUUUGCAAUAAUUUUUAAUUGAUAACAGCUGAACUUGCAUACACGGUUUUCUUCCCAUUCACACUCAUACAGUGUAAGUUGUUGAUGAAGUGACGUCCUCCCUUCUGUCUCAAGUAGUGUACUCUUGGUCAAAAGCACAUUAAGAUUCAUUUCUAAUGUCAUUUAACUGUUACAGUAAUUUAAUUUUUUAGAGAAAGUUAAUAUUAAUUACAAGUGUUAAUAUUGAAAACAUUUAAUUGUUCGUCCAUUAACGUCUGUGUUAGUUUUUUCUUCAGUUGAUUGAAUUUAUUCCAGUUAAUUUGCUGUAUUAAGCCCCAGGGGAAAGUUUACUAGUGUUAAGGGAUGCCAGUUAGUUACAUUCUUGUUCAUCAACAUAUAGUAGGAAGCAUAAAUAUAUGUCCUCAUUGCUCAUGAAUCAUAUCAUUGUCAUGUGUGUGGUGUUAUGUAAUCUAUUGUUGGUGAAGAAAUUUGUAAUGCAGUAUUUUCACAAUGAUGGUGUUGGUUUGACAGCAGCAGGUAGUGUUGACCCAAGAUGGCCUUACCCUGCACCCUUUCCUUGUAGUCAUCAUCCUGCACUACUCUGCUCUACUUCUGUUUUCCCACUUUGAUAGAUUUUGGAAUUUUUACAAAAAGAUGGUAAUGUGCAGAAUUUUUACACAAACUCGGACAUAAUAUAAUGUUAAACCGUUCGAGUUAAAGGUGAUAUACACGUGUUAAGAAUCGGCAUAUUAUGAUUCCAAAAUAAAUGAUAAUUUCUUGUAGUGAAUGAGGGUAGGAGCCCCUGGGUGAUACUGCACACUCAAGUCUGGUACAGUAUAGAUGAGUAUACUUCUUCAUGAUAAUUUUCUUUCAUACAUGAUAUACUUUUUGGAUAUAUUACUGUAUUUAAAUGCUAAACAUGUAAUAUAUGACUAUAUUUUAAGAGAGAUGCAUACCGCCCAGGGUCUUGUCCUACCCUGAUGUACUUGCAGCUGUUCAAGUCAUUGGAUGUAGUGAUGCACACGACGAAUAUUAAGCUGAAUGGGUAGUAUUUAUAGCCACGUUUUCCUUAACUAUACUGUAUAGAUAAAUCACUUGAUCUCUCACAAAAACCUAAGGGUUUAGAAGUGUCUUGUUUAGUGAUAAUAGCCAGUGAAAGACGAAAUGUUAUUGUGUACAGCUUAUUGAAUAAGAGGUUAAUACACUUGUAAAAUAUGACCCAAAUUGUGAAGAGUAAAGAAAGCACAUCUUUGUCCUCGCAGGUAUUCUGAGUGUGAGUCAUAUCCUUGUUAUUGCCUGUGAUGUUUUUGAUUAUGAGGUAAUGGAAAAUUUUCUUUGAAGCCUUAAACAGUGUUGCUGUAGAAUAAUUUAGUGAUUAUCGAUAUAUGAAACAACAUAUUUGACAUAAUUAAUGCCAUAAGCAGCACCAUAAUUGAUUCAUUUGGGUAAUUUUUAUUGGACUCUUUACUGUUUUUAGGAUUUUUGGUGGUAGAGGAAGGAUGGUGGUGUGUGAUGAUGUAACAAUAGUGGUGGUAGAGGAAGGAUGGUGGUGUGUGAUGAUGUAACAAUAGUGGUGG